UUAAUAAUUAUUAUUUAUAAUACAACGAGUUUCCUCGGAUUCAAGGGCUACCGAAAAUCUCCUACUUCGCGCCCCUCGAAUCCUGAGGUCCGUAAUUGAUCUUCCUUCUCUGGGAGCCCACUUAUUGCAAUUUGCAGACUCUUCGUGUAAUUUAGUCUGUUAGGUAGAAGUUUUCACAUCUCGAUAAAGAAUAUUUUGUUUCCUUCUCCAACUGACGUGGGAUCUCAUUAUCCACUCCCUUGGGGCCAACGUCCUCGUUGACUCGUUGGCACUUGUUUGUCUCUUCAAUCGAGGAGAAAAAUUUGUAAUGUAAAAAAUAAUAGAGUUUUAUCUUUAAUUCCCCAUCAUUACGUGUACCUCAAGAUGACGUUGUUGCCAAAUGCGACUUUUUUCCCUUUUUGCUUUCUCUAUUUUGAAUCCUUAUCCA